rnacentral:rRNA from 1 species
AGUUUGAUCCUGGCUCAGGAUGAACGCUAGCGGCAGGCCUAAUACAUGCAAGUCGAACGGUAAGUAUGAUAGCAAUAUUAUACGAGAGUGACGUACGGGUGCGUAACACGUAUGCAACCUACCCUUUACAGGCGGAUAGCUCGGGGAAACUCGAAUUAACCCGUCAUAAUAUAAUUGGAUGGCAUCAUUUGAUUAUUAAAACUCCGGUGGUAAAGGAUGGGCAUGCGUCUGAUUAGUUAGUUGGCGGGGUAACGGCCCACCAAGACGAUGAUCAGUAGGGGAACUGAGAGGUUGAUCCCCCACACUGGCACUGAGAUACGGGCCAGACUCCUACGGGAGGCAGCAGUAGGGAAUAUUGGUCAAUGGAUGGAAGUCUGAACCAGCCAUGCCGCGUGCAGGAAGAAGGCCUUCUGGGUUGUAAACUGCUUUUGUCAGGGGAUAAAAAUUCCUUGCGAGGAAGAUUGAAGGUACCUGGCGAAUAAGCCACGGCUAACUACGUGCCAGCAGCCGCGG